GACGAACGCUGGCGGCGUGCUUAACACAUGCAAGUCGAACGGAAAGGCCCUGCUUUUGUGGGGUGCUCGAGUGGCGAACGGGUGAGUAACACGUGAGUAACCUGCCCUUGACUUUGGGAUAACUUCAGGAAACUGGGGCUAAUACCGGAUAGGAGCUCCUGCUGCAUGGUGGGGGUUGGAAAGUUUCGGCGGUUGGGGAUGGACUCGCGGCUUAUCAGCUCGUUGGUGGGUAGUGGCUUACCAAGGCUUUGACGGGUAGCCGGCCUGGGAGGGUGACCGGCCACAUUGGGACUGAGAGACGGCCCAGACUCCUACGGGAGGCAGCAGUGGGGAAUAUUGCACAAUGGGCGGAAGCCUGAUGCAGCAACGCCGCGUGCGGGAUGACGGCCUUCGGGUUGUAAACCGCUUUCGCCUGUGACGAAGCGUGAGUGACGGUAAUGGGUAAAGAAGCACCGGCUAACUACGUG
rnacentral:rRNA from 1 species